UACAGAGGGUGCGAGCGUUGUUCGGAAUUACUGGGCGUAAAGCGCGCGCAGGCGGCCUUUUAAGUCUGGCGGUGAAAUGCCGGGGCUCAACCCCGUUGCAUGCCGCGGAUACUGGGAGGCUGGAGACGAGUAGAGGCAAGCGGAAUUCCGGGUGUAGUGGUGAAAUGCGUAGAUAUCUGGAGGAACACCGGUGGCGAAGGCGGCAUCCUGGACCGACACUGACGCUGAGGAGCGAAAGCCAGGGGAGCAAACGGG
rnacentral:rRNA from 1 species